GUGAACGCUGGCGGAAUGCUUUACACAUGCAAGUCGAGCGGCAGCGCGGGGGCAACCCUGGCGGCGAGCGGCGAACGGGUGAGUAACAUAUCGGAACGUACCCUGUCGUGGGGGAUAACACAGCGAAAGCUGUGCUAAUACCGCAUACGACCUGAGGGUGAAAGCGGGGGAUCGCAAGACCUCGCGCGAUAGGAGCGGCCGAUAUCGGAUUAGCUUGUUGGUGAGGUAAAGGCUCACCAAGGCGACGAUCCGUAGCUGGUCUGCGAGGACGACCAGCCACACUGGAACUGAGACACGGUCCAGACUCCUACGGGAGGCAGCAGUGGGGAAUUUUGGACAAUGGGGGCAACCCUGAUCCAGCCAUUCCGCGUGAGUGAAGAAGGCCUUCGGGUUGUAAAGCUCUUUCAGCAGGAACGAAACGGUGGCUACUAAUAAAGGGGAUUCAUGACGGUACCGUAAGAAUAAGCACCGGCUAACUACGU
rnacentral:rRNA from 1 species